CCUUGUGUAGCUCAAUGGAAGAGCAGCGGUUUGUGAGACCGCAGACGACGGAUCGUUACCGUCCACAGGGAC
rnacentral:tRNA from 1 species